AAUUAACACUCUCUAGCCAAAUAAAAAGGCAAUAACUUCUAACCAGUGGUGCGUCUUGGUUCUCAUCCUUGUCUUCUAGGGUCUCUGGACUGAUCAUACUGAUAGGCAAAGGACUGAGUCGACUUGGAGUUGAGACAUGACCAGUUUCCCCGCUGGCGUAAGAAGUGCGGGUGAAUCUGCCAGAGACUAUGGACUGUUGAGACGUCAGGACUGGCCGAGGGGAGGGGACUGGGCUUUGUGGGGAGGACUCUGGCUGCUGGGAGCCUCCGUGGGGGAUAUACAGCACAGAGGUGACUGUGUCAUGGACAGAGCCCUCACUGUCACUGCUGGAGUGGUGGACAUCCUCACUAUGUGAGGAGACAGCAUCAUUUACAAGGUGCUCCUCUAUAAUCUUAUCCAACUCGGUUUCCUGCAGAACAAAACCAAAGACUGUUACACAACAAAUCAAUAACUCUAGGUCUGGGAUAAUGAAGCUGUAUAGAAAUAACUUUGUUGACAAUGUUGGCGAACACCCAGUUAUUAUAUUACCUUGUUUUGAAGAAGUUUUGUCAUUAAUUUUUUUAGUAUUGGGAUAAUAAAGGAGAAAAAAAUAGGAAGCUAAAGGAGAGCAAAAUUUUAUGUACAUGUGUACAAUUCAAAUAUUGUGCGAUACAGCUAGUUGCUUAUCCUAUCACUAUAAUUUUUGGAUUUUGUUUUGUAAAACUCAAUAUGUAUAAACAAAAUAGAAA
rnacentral:sRNA from 1 species